rnacentral:lncRNA from 1 species
UUUCCUGUUUAUGACACUGCGUAUGUAUCAGUGAGCAUUCUUGGAUGCAGAUCACAGACAUCAACUCUUAUGAAUUUAAGCAGAAAACAAAUUUAUGGAAGUGAAUCAAGUCAUCCAUAGAAGAAAUAAAUGAUUGGAGAAAUGGAUUCAGAAAAUGGACGGGAAUGCAGAGGCCAGACACUUGGGAACACAGCAGAGGUCACCCUGCAGUUACAUUCCAGUCCUGUGAUCAAUUAACUACUUCCUAAGACCUCUGUGAAUAGGACCAUCUUGUUUCCCACACUGGUGCUGCUGCCUUCUCUGAUUACUGUUUUGGUGACCACUUUGCAUCUCACACUCUGGAAUCCUCCCACUCUAUUA